AACAGGAUUAGAUACCCUGGUAGUCCACGCCGUAAACGAUGCAUGCUAGACGUUGGGAACCUCAGGUUCUCAGUGUCGCAGCUAACGCAAUAAGCAUGCCGCCUGGGGAGUACGGCCGCAAGGUUGAAACUCAAAUGAAUUGACGGGGGCCCGCACAAGCGGUGGAGUAUGUGGUUUAAUUCGACGCAACGCGGAGAACCUUACCAGUCCUUGACAUGUCUAGUAUGGGUCUAAGAGAUUAGACCCUUCAGUUCGGCUGGCUAGAACACAGGUGCUGCAUGGCUGUCGUCAACUCGUGUCGUGAGAUGUUGGGUUAAGUCCCGCAACGAGCGCAACCCUCAUCUUUAGUUGCCCCCGGGUCAGGCCGGGCACUCUAAAGAAACCGCCGGUGACAAGCCGGAGGAAGGCGGGGAUGACGUCAAGUCCUCAUGGCCCUUACGGACUGGGCUACACACGUACUACAAUGGUGGUGACAGUGGGCUGCGAAGUCGCAAGACGGAGCCAAUCCCCAAAAGCCAUCUCAGUUCGGAUUGCACUCUGCAACUCGAGUGCAUGAAGUUGGAAUCGCUAGUAAUCGCAGAUCAGCACGCUGCGGUGAAUACGUUCCCGGGCCUUGUACACACCGCCCGUCACGCCAUGGAAGUUGGUUUUACCUGAAGUUGAUGAGCUAACCCGCAAGGGGAGCAGUCAACCACGGUAAGGUUAAUGACUGGGGCGAAGUCGUAACAAAGGUAACCGUAA
rnacentral:rRNA from 1 species